GGCUCAGAACGAACGCUGGCGGCGUGCUUAACACAUGCAAGUCGAGCGGAAAGGCCCUUCGGGGUACUCGAGCGGCGAACGGGUGAGUAACACGUGAGCAACCUGCCCUUGGCUUUGGGAUAACCCUCGGAAACGGGGGCUAAUACCGGAUAUCCACUUUCUGUCGCAUGGUGGUUGGUGGAAAGUUUUUCGGCUGGGGAUGGGCUCGCGUCCUAUCAGCUUGUUGGUGGGGUGAUGGCCUACCAAGGCGAGGAAAGGUAGCUGGCCUGAGAGGGCGACCGGCCACACUGGGACUGAUCCUCGGCCCAGAGACCUACGGGAGGCA
rnacentral:rRNA from 1 species